CUAGGUCCCAGCAGACCAGGAGCACAGAUGGGUCAGCCUACUCAGUUCUCCACUGGGCUCCCUGUUCUCAGAAUGGUCUGUGUGUGGAGAAGACUCCUAAGUGCCUGGGAAUAGGUGGGCUGUGGGUGAAGCGGAUGAAGGCGAUACAGAGCGAGGACGUGGCCUGAAACCGAGAGCAGCAUUCUCCCUUCCCUGCUUCCAUCCGUUCCUGGUCUGCGUCCCAGCCCUGGUACGUAAGGCUGUCCCAGAAUCCCUGUAAAUUCACUUUUCUGUUAAAUGAUUCCAGAUCAUUCGGUUAUGUGCAACCAAAAGUCCUCACCCAUACGUCAUCUUACAGCAUUAAAGCUUCAGGCGACUUGGGUAUGUUUUAAAAACAAAAA